UGAAGCCAAUGAUGCUUUGAGUUAUCCCUGUCUGAAAUGUGUGUGGACAGUAACACAAUCUGAGGCUUUA